CCUACGGGGGGCUGCAGUGAGGAAUUUUGCGCAAUGGCCGCAAGGCUGACGCAGCAACGCCGCGUGGGUGAUGAAGGCCUUCGGGUCGUAAAGCCCUGUCAGGUGGGAAGAAAGGCCUGGAGAGGAAAGGUUUCAGGUUUGACGGUACCACCAGAGGAAGCACCGGCUAACUCCGUGCCAGCAGCCGCGGUAAUACGGAGGGUGCGAGCGUUAUUCGGAAUUACUGGGCGUAAAGCGCGUGUAGGCGGGGGGACAAGUCUGAUGUGAAAGCCCUGGGCUUAACCUGGGAAGCGCAUUGGAAACUGUUUUUCUUGAGUACUGGAGAGGAAGGGGGAAUUCCCGGUGUAGAGGUGAAAUUCGUAGAGAUCGGGAGGAAUACCAGUGGCGUAGGCGCCCUUCUGGACGGUAACUGACGCUGAGACGCGAAAGCGUGGGGAGCAAACAGGAUUAGAUACCCCUGUAGUC
rnacentral:rRNA from 1 species